rnacentral:rRNA from 1 species
UAAGUGAAUAGUGAAAUCUUGUGGCUCAACCAUAAGGCUAUUAUUCAAACUGGCAGACUCGAGAAUGAGAGAGGUCACUGGAAUUCCCUGUGUAGGAGUGAAAUCCGUAGAUAUAGGGAGGAACACCAAUGGCGUAGGCAGGUGACUGGCUCAUUUCUGACACUGAGCACGAAGCGUGGGAGCGAACGGGAUUAGGUACCCCGGUAGUCCACGCCGUAAACGAUGGAUGCUA